rnacentral:lncRNA from 1 species
AAAAAGUCAUUUGUUGGCAACUUGGCCUUUCUAUUUUUCUUUUCUUACUAAUUAAGGCAUUUUGCUUAAGCAUGUUUUGUUCUAUUUGUGUGUAAUUUAAUUUGUAGUCCUUGGUCUGAUUAAUUGAUAACAUAAAAGAAAUUACAAAUAAAUAUACAUGAUAAGUGAACUAAAAUCCUAUGAAAAAUCAUUCAUCAAAAUCAGCAUUAUCAAUCUACCCAUUUUUUAUGAAUGACAAUAAAAACAUAAAUAUAGUUAACUUUCUUUUUAGGCUCCCCUGAGUAGUAGCAUUGGUUCCUUCUGAAUUGGGUUAUCUCAUCUUGUCGACAUAUCCUGCAAACUGAAUAACACACAUUUUUUCCUCUGUAAAAUCAAUCAAAAAGAAAGAAUAACCCUAAGGUAACAAAAGGACUAAUAGAAAGCAAAACAAGACAGAGUAUUCAUGAGCUUAGUCCCAUAUAUAAACCAAAAAUAAAUAAAGUAAAAACUAUCCAAGUAGCAUACUUAGGGAGCAACAACAACAAUAAAAGGUUGUUCAAAAGGAUGGAAGAAAUAUGCUAGAGUUUGAGAAGUAGCAUCCUCUAGAUUGGUGAAUUGAUUGACAAUUGUGGUGGAAAGUGUAUUAGUCGUGGCCUAGAUUUUUGCAACAAUUUUUGUUUCCUCCGUAAUUACUUGAUCUAAUUUGACCCAAAGUCGCGCAACAUCUGUUUUAGUUUCCUUGUUAGUAUCCUCUAUCAAGUUGAAAAAAAGUAUGUUGUAGAAGAUCCUUUAAGCUAUUAAGUUUGGAAUCAAUUUCGAUCAACCAAAGAUCAACAUCCAUGGAGGAGGAACCAGGAGCAUGAGAAGGAGGAAUAGAGAAACGUAAUUUAGGAGAGGAUGGACUGCCAACAGAGUAAUUUUCAAAAAUUUAAGCCCAUGCAUCAUCAACUAGAAUACAACCAUACAUCCAAAAAUUAUAGAUUGUAGCAUUGCUUUAUAUAGUUAGAUGGAGCAACACAAAGAUACACAUUACCCACUUUUAAAAUAUGAGUAAAAAUGAGCCCAUAAAGGAGACUGGUAGGAUCAAGUGAGACUUCAAUCAUAUAAUUGAAGAUAAAAGAGGAUAGAUUAAUUUUAUGCUUAGUAGCAAUACAAAGUGUGAAAAAGGUGUCUCAUUAAUAUAAAGUGCAGAGAGAACCAACCCUAGGUAGCAAUGUAGUGGCCACAGUAUGGGCAAUCAUAUGGAGUUCAAAGGACAAGUGCUCAGUACCAAGAGUAGGGGAAAGAUACAUAGAGUUAUUCUAGAUCAAUAGAACAUUUUUCUUUCUCAAAAGAAAUAUCAAAUUUAGAGGGCCACAGAUUUUAGAUAAGGUAGUAAAACCUGAGCAAUUUAUAUCAAAAAAUAGCAUUAAACAUAGCAUAAUUGAAAUACUCUAAUUUUUGGACCUUAGAAAAUUUCUUGGAAUUAUGAUCUCUAGACCCAAUACUACUCAUGGGUACGAACCGUAUAUUAGGGUGCGAAUGGUAUGGUCCAGUCGUAUGCUAACAAAUGUUGGUUGGUGGGAUGGAUUUUGGUUACUGGAAUGGAUAUGACUUAGGGGUACGAGUCGUAUUCGUGGCUACAGAUUGUUUGGUUCCUUAACUUAAUAUUAGACUUGGUUACUUAGGUUGGAUAUGAGUAUGAGUGGCUCACCAUGAUCCAUAAGCCAGGGUACGAGUCAUACCCAGGACUCAUAUGGUGGACAGUGUCUAAAUCUUCCUUGGGUUUACCUAAAUUAUUUGCUUUGGAUACGACUUAGUUAGAUGAGUCGUAUGCUCGAGUAUUGGAUCUAAAGGUCGAGUCUUAGGAUACGAGUAAAGGGUACCACUCGUAUAAGAGGGUAAGACUCAUGAGGGUUAGUCAUAUCCCUGGGACGAGAUUUUGUGCAACUUAAGUGGGAGUAUUCUAGAUAUUUCCCCACUUAUCCUUAUAAGGUCCCAUGACUUCUAACCUACUUUGUAGGCUAUUUACCCUAUUAUUCCAUUCAAUAACACUUAGAAACUUUUGUAAAAUACUCUAUAUUUAUCUCAAAAGCUUUUGGGCAAGGAAAGCUAAGGUUUCAACUAGAGGAUUUAUUUGGGCUUGUCUUGGAGAUUUUUUUCAUCAUCAUCUUAAUUUAAGGCUUGUUCUCUUCCCGAUUUCUUAAUUCUAACUAGAAGCAUGGUUUAUAUGAAUGUUUUCAUAACUUCAUUGAUUAUAUGAUUUUGAUUUUCAAAUAUAAAUUGGGGGUUUUGAUAUUAAAUGGUUGGUUAUGAUUUUCUAUGGUUUUAAUUAUGCUUUAUGUGUAUUAAUGGUGGUUUUGGAUAAUUGGAUUGAAUGGUCAUGGUUUAAUGGUAAUUGGAAUUGGUUAUAUUAUUCCCCAAUAUGUUCGACAAAAUUCCUAUAAUAAUGUUUUCAUUGCAUUGAGCAUUUUAAUGUAACUCUUACAUAUUUUAAAACUUGGUAAAGGAAUUGUGCAUAGUAUAAAUGGCUUGGAAAGAUUAAAUGUCAAAAUAGUUUUGCUUGUGGGGUAUAUGGAAUCCCCUAAGUGGUUCAAUAUGGUAGAUAGAAGGACACUUGGAAGUCCCCUUAAACCUAUAUAUGGUUGGCUAUGGAUAAUACUUGCAAGUAAAAAUUGGUAUGACGAUACCAAUAAUAAUGGUCCUGGUUAAUAAUUAAUUAAUGGUUUGGUCAUUUGAAAAAUGAUUUUAAUAGGGCAUUAAUGGCAGGAUAUGUAGCAAAGUCAUGAAUGGUAGAGGUCUUGAAGGGACCAAAAAUGGAAACUUAUAUUUAUCGAUGUUCAGUUGGUCUUGGUGACCAUGUUCAUGAUGUCACACUAUAUUUAGGAGGAUGUACUACUUAACCUAGGUUUUCUUCCCUGGUCGUGCGAUUUCAAGCACUGGGGUCCUUUCAGUAGGGGGAGCUGAACACAUAUAGCCCAUUGGUAGUUUAGGACGGCAAAGCUACACAGCUCAUGUAAAGGUUUUAAAGGUUUUAAAGGUAUGCUAAACCAUAUCCCAUUUCUCAGCAUGGUUAUAUAUAAAUAUGCAGGGUUGUGUGCAUAAAAUGGCAUUAUCUUAUCCUUAUCAUGAGAUCAUGUUAGCGUUAACCCGCUAACCUGUCUAUUAGCAGCUGUAUACCCACGACAUGCAGGAAUCAUCAAUUCUACUUCUCUAACAUAGUGAUUGACUCAGGGAUCAGCAUUUGGAUUGAAGUGGUGAGCUUUCAUCCUUUUGAAAGGCUCUAUUUCAUGUUAUGGAUAUUUCUAAACACUUUGAUUUUAUUUUGGAUAAGUAUUCUAGAUAUUUCCCCACUUAUCCUUAUAAGGUCCCAUGACUUCUAACCUACUUUGUAGGCUAUUUAACCUAUUAUUCCAUUCAAUAACACUUAGAAACUUUUGUAAAAUACUCUAUAUUUAUCUCAAAAACUUUUGGGCAAGGAAAGCUAAGGUUUCAACUAGAGGAUUUAUUUGGGCUUGUC